AUGCUUAGAAACUUAGGGAAGGAGUAUCGUCUGCUACCACCAAACCAUCAUUCAAAAGAGGACAAGUUGCAGAUAAAGAAGAUGGUAGUCUUUGCAAUCGAUAAGGCUCUCGAAGACUUAGAUCGAAAUGAAAAGUCUCUAGAAGCCGAAGAGGAGAAAAAGGCAAGGAGGGUGACAACCCGACAGAAGCUUAAAAACUGACAGAUUACUAACGGGACUAUAUCUUUUGAUAUAUCUCAGUUUGAGCCAUUGGCUUAAUCGCAUCCGUAGUAGGUUGAGAGAACACACAGAUUAGAUUCGCUAACCAGAAGUUUAUUCAUUGAAGUUAAGCUGGAUGAUUUGGUCAGGACGUGAGCAUAAAAACACACUUAAAGACGUUUAAAAUGAAAGCCCAGUAACACGAGAUCAUCUAAGCUUGAGGGGUAACAACAUCCGCUACUACAUUCUCCCUCACAGUUUGAACCUGGAGACUUUGCUUGUGGAAGACACUCCUCGAGUUAAAACCUAAGAAGGCUGUUGCUGGGAAGCCUGUUGGACGCGGCCGUGGCAGAGUUCGUUAGAUGCAGCAGUGCACUGGA